UGGCUCUCGCAUCGAUGAAGAACGCAGCGAAAUGCGAUAAGUAAUGUGAAUUGCAGAAUUCAGUGAAUCAUCGAAUCUUUGAACGCACCUUGCGCUCCUUGGUAUUCCGAGGAGCAUGCCUGUUUGAGUGUCGUGAAAUUCUCAACUCCCUAGAUUUCUUAAUGAAGUCUGGUGGGGCUUGGACUUGGAGGUUGUGUUGGCUCUAGCUAGUUGACUCCUCUUAAAUACAUUAGCGUGAAUCUUUACGAAUCGCCUUCAGUGUGAUAAUUAUCUGCGCUGUGGUGUUGAAGUAUCUUGAUAGUUCAUGCUUCUAAUCGUCUCUCACGAGACAAUUACUUUGACAAUCUGGCCUCAAAUCAGGUAGGACUACCCGCUGA
rnacentral:misc_RNA from 1 species